AGUGAACGCUGGCGGUAGGCCUAACACAUGCAAGUCGAACGGCAGCACAGUAAGAGCCUGCUCUUACGGGUGGCGAGUGGCGGACGGGUGAGGAAUACAUCGGAAUCUACUUUUUCGUGGGGGAUAACGUAGGGAAACUUACGCUAAUACCGCAUACGACCUACGGGUGAAAGCAGGGGAUCUUCGGACCUUGCGCGAUUGAAUGAGCCGAUGUCGGAUUAGCUAGUUGGCGGGGUAAAGGCCCACCAAGGCGACGAUCCGUAGCUGGUCUGAGAGGAUGAGCAGCCACACUGGAACUGAGACACGGUCCAGACUCCUACGGGAGGCAGCAGUGGGGAAUAUUGGACAAUGGGCGCAAGCCUGAUCCAGCAUACCGCGUGGGUGAAGAAGGCCUUCGGGUUGUAAAGCCCUUUUGUUGGGAAAGAAAAGCAGCAGGUUAAUACCCCGCUGUUCUGACGGUACCCAAAGAAUAAGCACCGGCUAACUUCGUG
rnacentral:rRNA from 1 species